rnacentral:lncRNA from 10 species
GGCGCGGUUAGGGGUGACUCCCACGAUCCCUAGCGGCUGCAGAGUGGAACAUGGCGGCCUCCUUGCCGCUUGCGUUACCAGAGUCCACCCGGCCUCGUGCUUUCUCCGGGCGCCCGUAGCUGGCGCCGGCAUCCACAAAAAUAGAUCAGGUAAAGCAGCAGAGUAAGGCAUAGGAAGACUUGGUCGGGCUCCGCGGCCCCUCUUUACCGGAUUGGAGGCUGCGCGGGUGAAAUCGAGCUUUAAACUCCCCUGGCCUCGGAACACCAUUUGUAGCCUCUGAAGGAGGAGGACUUAUAAGAUUCUGUACUAAGGCAGCCGUGGGAAGGGAGGAGAACCAGGUCGGCCCGCGCGCUCCCGGCUGCUUUUGCUCUCCCUUUGGUUUCGAAAGCGUCAAGUCCCAAGACUUUCGCUCUUGUCGCCCAGGCUGGAGUGCAAUGGCGCAAUCUGCAAUGGCUCACUGUGACCUCCGCCUCCCAGGUUCAAGCAAUUCUCCUGCCUCAGCCUCCCAAGUAGGUGGGAUUGCAGGCCCCCACCACCAUGCCCAGACCCUGAGAGCCUACUGACCACAGCAGCUCCUGUUACCACGGCUGCCGUUUCUGCUCUCAAUGCUACUGCUCAUUGAUCCCAGGGAGGAAAAUUCUGGUGCAUCACUUAGUAUUUAUUUCAGGUAGGACUAGUGAAAUUCCUAGUAACAUAGUCCUGUUACUACAAGAUUACCCAUAUCCUUUGAUGAUCCAUCUACUGCAAACUCAUAGAAUUUACUGGACAGUCUUCUUCAUUUUAUGUAAGAAUGACCACUGUAUCAUCAUAUGUCAAUGUCCUGCAUAACUGUCACCACCCCUCCAUGCCGAAUACCUGGUAGCUUGUGAUGAGUUGAGAACCUCACUAAACAGUCUUAUCCACAUCCUCAGGUUCUCUGAGGUUUUCCUUCUGUCCAGUCCAUGCACUUGUACCCCUGGUGGUCGAAGUACAGUCACGCACUGCGUAUGAUGUUCUCAUCAGUGGUGGGCUGCAUACACAGCAGUGGUCCCAUAAAACCAUAAUGAAGCUCAAAAAUUCCUAUUGCCAACUGGCAUAACGUCAUGUAGUGACACAUGACCUUUUCUAUGUUUAGAUCUGUUCAGAUACACAAAUCCUUACCACUGUAUUCCAAUUGCCUGUAGUAUUCAACAGUCACUGUACAAACCUGCUGUAUAGUUUUGUAGCCUAGGAGCUACAGGUUGUACCGUAUAGCCUAGGUGUGUGGUAGGUAGGCUAUACUAUACAGAUUUGUGUAAGUAUACUCUAUGAUGUUCACACAAUGGUGAAAUCUCCUAAUGACACAUUUCUCAGAAUGUCUCCCCAUCACUUUGGCCAGCUGACUCAGUUUGUGAUGGCAAUUGUGAGACCAGUUGAAGGGCGAUCUGACCUGUAUAUUCUCUUGGUUAAUUGUAUUUACAAAUUGGAUACAUGAUUUCUCUGAUUGCUCUCUUCACAAACUACAUUUGAAUAUACAAAUGAAGUGCUAAGUGGUUUUUAUACAGGGAAACAAAGCCAGUUUUGUUUUCUACCAAUGCAAGUUUGGAUAAAUUCUUUUCAAGAAGAUGACUAAAUAUUUCCCAUUUAGCAAAGUCCUCAGAUAAAGAGAUGCCAGGUAUUUCUCGUUAUGUUGGUUUCUGUAUUACUAUCUGUUCAGACACAAGCGUCCUUAAAAAUGUGCUUAGUUGUAAUUUCUUCAUAGAUUUCAACCAAAACAACAUAUUGCAAGAUUGAAUGCAGAAGUAGAUGUGAGAACUCAUUCUAUUAAGCCAAGCGUAAAUGUUUAAAAAUGUAAAAUAAUACCACUCUUCUGAUAUGUUUUGGGAGAAAAUAUGUUUGUGGAAAAUAUACCUAUCAAAGAAAUAUCAGAAACCUUCCAAACUGAAGGACAUGUGUAUCCAGAUUAAAAUGACCUUCCAAAUGCUUAACAUAGUAAACAAAAAACAGGAGGAAAAGGAGGGGAGAAAAGAAAAAAAGAAGACUCACACAAGGCCGUGUUACGACAUUUCAUCAUACCAUAGAUAAAUCAGAUCCUGAAAGAUUUCAGAAAGGAAUAUGAGAUCACACAUAAAGGAACAGGAAUCAAAAUGACAUUACCCUUCUCAACAACACUGGAAGCUCCAAGAGAGUGCAGCAAUGCUUUCAUCCUCAGAGAAAAUAAUUAUCAAUACAAAAUAAUAUUCCCAGCUAAGCUAUCAAUCAUGAGGGUAGAAGAAAGGCAUUUUUAGCCAUUGCGUGGGAGUGCUAUAAUAAUGGUCCCAGUGAACCACACCUCCCUGUAUCCGCACCACUUUGCAAUGAGAAAUUUGCUGUUUCUCCUAGUGAGAGAGGGAGUCUAUUUCUUUACCCUUGGGCCUGGGCUGGCCUGGUGACUUGUUUUGACCAAUACAUGGAAGAAGUGACAUUAUGUGAGUUCUGCAGCUGAAGCUUUAAGAGGCCUUGAAGUUUCUCCUCACCUUCUUGGAACCUUGAGACCACCAUGCUGUGAGAAGCCUGGGCAUAUCUACUGGAGGCCGAGGGGCCACAUGACACGUCUAAAACUCAUACGUCAAGAUAUGGUAAUAUAAUGUGAAAUUCCUAGAGCAGCUUAAUGCUAGUCUCUAUUUGGCUACCUUUUUCUUUAGAAUUGCUUAUAUAGUUAGUGUAUGAGAUUUUUUGUUAUAUUUUGCAAAUAUUUUCUCUCCAUUAUAGCUCAUCAUCUUUUAGCUUUGUUUAUGGCAUGUUUUUAUGAUAGAGAAGUUUCAUUUUUUAUUUUUAAGUGGUUACAUCUAUUAAUAAUUUCCUUUGUGUCUCUGAGGUUUUGUUGCUUAAGAAGGACUUCUCAAAGAUUUAACCUUAUUUUUUACUUAAAGAGCAAAAAAAAAAACAAAAAACAAAAAACAAAACACGAUCACAAUAUAAGCCAGUAUAAGCAACUGGUUCGUGCAGGAUGGUGGUAGUUAUCAAAGAGAGCGGGGGGUCUAAAGCUCUAAGGAGUCGUCUGGAGAAAGCCAGGCAGAGACUUGCUGCUUUUCUAUUCUACUUCUUUCCCUUCUCAUCCAGCUUGAAAGCUGCACCCAUCAAGUGCGUCCUGAAUCUGACGAUUCACUAUCUUCACUUCCGCCAGUCUGCUCCAGGCCUCCAUCCUUUCUGGCCUAAAUGAACCCCAAAGCUGGCUUGUGUCCUGCAUCCAUCCACCACUCUUGCCCUUGUUUCACUUAUCUAUUGCUGUGAAAUAAACUUCAAAACCAAGUGAUUCAGUCUCACAACUCUGGUUUUCCUGGGCUGAGUGGGGUGGUUCCUCUAUUCAUGUGAUGUGGCUGGAGCUGUGGGCAUUUGUGGGCUUGAAUGGGCUGAGUGUUCACCGUGGUUCAUUCACAUGGUGGCAGCUGGCUAGGUUCUCAGCUAGGACGAUGGCCUCUCCAUGUAGCUUGGGCUCAGAGCUAGUGUUCUGAGAAGGAAGUAGAAGCUGGCAGUCCUAUUGAGGCCUGGGCUUGAAGUCCCAGAACAUCCUUUCCCACUGCCUUGUAAUGAUCAAAGUAGUCACAAGGCCAGCCUAGAUUCAAGGGCUUGGAGGAAUACUACCUUUCAGUCAAUUUCCCAGUUUCCAGAGGAUUUUAAAAAAACAAACGGCUCGACACAGUGGCAUGUGCUACUCGGGAGGCUAAGGUGGGAGGAUCGCUUGAGCCUGGGAGGUUGAGGUUGCCGUGAGCUGUGAUUACACCACUGCACUCCAACCUGGGUGACAGAUCAGACCUUGUCUCAAAACACUCUCCCCAAAACAAAUAGACAUAAUUCUCCUGCUGGAAUCCACUGCUCACUAGACUUACAUUGUAAUAGCCUGCCUCACCUGGCCCCUGCCUAACUCUGUCCCUCACACCUUUGCUCUGUCUCUAAAGGUCAUACUGCUGUUUCCCCAGCACCCCAAACUCACCACCCUUCAGGGACUUAGCCUAGAACAAUUUUCCUCCAGGACUUCACUUGGCCACUUCACUCCAUUGCUUCCAGACGGCUGGCAUUAUUUGCCCAUCUGUUUUGGGUCUCCUUCACUGGCAUGAAUGUAAGGUCCUUGCCAGCAGCACUUUUCUGUCCUAUCCUACAUUCACUCUUAGCAUCUAGAAUGGUGUUAUCACAGGAAAGGCAUAAAAGUAUACUCUGUGGUUAACUGAAUUUACUUGCCUAAAUCUUGGGCAUGUGAUGCUUUGAGAAAUAUACAAAUUAAUGUUAAACAGAACCACAGUGGUCAGUAACAGGCACAUCCAAGGAUACACUAGUCCUGCAUACAUACCCACUGGCAUGUUUCUACCUUCCUAAUAAGAGCUGACAGCCGUUUUGCUGCAUGCUGUACAGGACAGCUGCUGCUGCAAACUCAGCCUCUGAUGGGCCCAUAGUCGAUGUGCCCACUGCAUGCCUUGAACUCAGGGAAUUCAGACGAAAUCAUCACACACUCCAGCCAGAAGCUAGAGGGCUGCCGGCCUUGACAUUUUAAUGCAUUUUUGGUGUCAGCUGCCCUUCACUGAUUCACUCAAUUCUAGAGGUCUGAAUGAGAAUCCCUACACGCUUCUCAGGGGUUCUGAAGAAGCCAGUGUAGCCCAAGGUCAUCAACCCAAGUGAACCCACAUUUAUCCAGGAAGCAAGAGGUGUGGCAAGGGCAGAAUUCUAACAGACAUCCAUUCCACAUGUGUCAGAGACAAAACUAAGUCCAAGAUAAAAUCGACAAAGGCUAUUUAUUCAUAAACGUGCAGCAGGGGAACCCUUCUGCUGAAACCUUUGUUUUGGUAAGUGUUCAGAGGUGUUAAGACGUUAUAGAGUAAAAAGGAGAAAUACUGACAGUGUUGACUUGGCAAAUGUCAUAUAAGGGUAGGAUUUGUGGAAGCAAGCCAAGAGACAAAGUGGUCUUCAAGUACAUUUGACUUGAUUAGCUUCAAGGAGGCAGGUGAGCAGUCUGGGACCAUUUCAAAAGAGGAAAGGGGCGGAGAGUUUUCUGUGGCCAGCCAUUUCCUGGAAAAAGUGAUGGUUGAUGGGAUGCUUUUUUGCAGUCUAUCAUCAUGGUUCUUAGGGGUGUAAAAAGUAAAGUGAGGUUCCUCUUCAAAGACUUUCCUCCCUGUCUAAUUAAGAAUAAAUAGUAACUUCUCUUAGGAGCAAAACUUAUUCAAAGACCUGUGCUAACAUUCUUAAAUAUCUGCUAGCCGUAAUAAAGAAAUCAAUGUACUUUAUGUUCUUAGCUCCCACAAUUUAGCCUAUUUGCCCUGGCAAUGCUUAUACUGGUCCAAGCAAGCAUUAGGUCAUAGCCUGUUCCUCUUCCUUAUCUGAAGGUGUUUUUACGUUUCUCAGCAUUCCACAAGUUACUUCCUCCUUCAUUCUCCUCUGCCUUUGCCUCUUUUAAAAAGUUCUAAGUUGCUAGCCAAUCAGGACAAAUACAGAAUGUGAGGUCCCGUUCCAGCCAAUGGAAACUGGACACAGCAGUAAAGUGGACUUGUCAAGUUAUAAAUGACCCUGUCUCCUUUGUUCGGUGUUCUCUCGUGGCAAAACUGCUGGCGAGUGUACCCUUUCUGCAGAAAGUAUAAAAAUGACCUUGCUGAAGAAAUUAAUGUUCAAGUGCUAUUUCUUUGCGGCACUGAAGAACAAGCAUUUCAAACAGAGGGUAGGGUGGGGUGGUGGUGGUGGUGUUAUGUGGUUGCCACAGCUAAGUUAAGUUUUUCACAUGGAUCAUUAACUUUCAAAUAAUUAAAAUUUUAGAGAUGCAAGGUAUCUUAAAGUUCAUCUGGUCACUCUGACCACCCACAUUCCCACUCUCAUCCCAAGUUCAUUUAAUGGAUGGAAAAACUCAAACAAAAGGUAGUUUGGCAUCUAACCCUUAGCAAAGGUUAGAUGUGGAAUUAGAAGUUUUCCUGAAUCCUAGGACUGUAGUAUAACCAUCAUGCAUUUCAAAAGUAAAACAAAAAAGGAAAUUUAAAAAAAGAAAAUACAGUAAGUAGCCACAUAAACCGCUUCUAGCUGGGUCCACUGGUCCCCCUGCUUCUUGUUUAUUAACGGAAUCUGUUCAGGGGCUCUAGGGCUCAGAGCUUUAGGGGAGUCUGAGCCCUUCUCCAGCCCUGGGGUGAUGGGUCUUGAUUGAUCCAGGUCAAAUUCUCCACAGAUUUAAUUCUGGCCAAUGAAUAUGAGAAGAAAUGAGAAGGUGGAAAGGUGUCUUAGUCUACUUUUUGCUGCUAUAAUAAAAAUACCAAUACAUGGGGUAAAUUAUAAUGAAGAGAAAUUUAUCUCAUGGAGUUCUGGAGGCUGGGGAGUCCCAAAAUCAAGGUGUUGGCAUCUGGUGAGGAGCUUCUUGCUGUCCACCCCAUGGUGGAGGGUGGAAGGGCAGAAAGAGAGAGAGGGCUGGAGGCCAAUAGGUGGCUGAACUCAUUUUUUUAUGAGGAACCCACUCCCAUAAUAACAGCAUUAAUCCACUCAUGAGAGCAGAGCCCCCAUGACCCAACCAUUUCCCAUUAGGUCCUACCUCCCCACACCCACUGCACUGGGGAUCAAGUUUCCAACACAUGGAACUUUGGGAGACACAUUCACGACAUAGCAGAGGACCACUGGAGAAAGGAAGGUUUUUAAAGAUUUUUUUUAGGACACUAUGGAAGUGAUAGCCAUUGGACAUGGAUGGUGUUUUUGUUUUUGGCAUGGGAAAAGGCUUAUACAACUCUGGUCAACUUGGCAACACUAAUCAAAAGUCAAAAUCUCCUUUGACCCUAGGGAUCCCCUACUAUUAACAGUAUUAUAUCUUAUAGAACCUAGGUAUUUAGGAAAGAAAAAAAUGUUCAAAGAUGUAUUGACAUUUAAUAAAAGCAAAUAACUGGACAUAACCCAGCUAUCCAAAUACAGGCUAUCAGGAAACACUGUGAAGGACUUUGAAAUAGGUCUUGCCCACUGCCCCCACCCCUGCCUCCAAUUACUGAGUGUUCUGUCUAAUCUAGCCCACCUUUCUGAGUUGAUUCCCUUUCAUUUCACUGCCUUUGAGCUACUUUACAAUUACGUAAAUUAAGGGAAACUGAUAAUGCAGAUGAUUCUUGUUCAUAGAAAUGCAAAUUGUGACCAAUGGAAUAUAACUGAUUAUUGUUCUGCAGGUAUCAGCCAAUUUUGCCAGUUUUGUAACUACGAAGCAAACUCAUUUCAGCAUUCCUGCUAGGCUUAUAAUUAUUUGUUCUUUGGAUUCUCCUUUGAGCCAAUUAAAGUGUCCUACUGGUUCUCUCAAUAAUUAACAAGUUAAAUACAAUCAUCUUUAACAUGUUACUUUUAUAUUUGUAUGAGUCAUAAUUUUAACUUCUAAAAAAAUUAUCCUUUAACAAGGUAGUUAAGUAAAUUUAAUGUUCAUGUGGUAUAAUUUACUUAGCAGCCCUCUUAAAACAGUUAUAAAAACCAUAUGGCAACAGGGACAAAUACUCCUGAUAAAAAUGGCAAGUGGGGAAAAAAGCAGAAAUGCAAAAUUUGUACUACGUUGUGAUUAAAGCUAAACGUUGUAAGUGCUUAGGGCAAGAAAUAGGAAGGAGAAAAAAAAUUGAAGUUGGAUUUGUUUGUUAGGGUGGUAGGAUCCUGGAUUAAAAAAAAAAAACAAAACCCUGACAUUAUUCUGUUAUACAUUAAAAAUAAUAUUGGCGGGCAUGGUGGCUCACGCCUGUAAUCCCAGCACUUUGGGAGGCCAAGGCAGGCGGAUCACGAGGUCAGGAGAUCGAGACCAUCCUGCUAACACGGUGAAACCUCAUCUCUACUUAAAAUACAAAAAAUUAGCCAGGCGUGGUGGCACGUGCCUGUAGUCCCAGCUACCAGGGAGGCUGAGGCAGGAGAAUCACUUGAACCUGGGAGGCGGAGGUUGCAGUAAGCCGAGAUCACGCUACCGCACUCCAGCCUGGGAUACAGAGUGAGACUCCAUCUCGGGAAAAAAAAAAAAAGUUGGCCCUGUAUUAGUUUCCUAUUGUUGCUGUUAACAAAUGGUUUAAAGCAACACUAACUUAUCACCUUAGUAAUAAAUUCUGCAGUUCUGGAGGUCAGAAGUCCAAAGUGGGCAUCACAGGGCUAAAAUUAAGGUAUGGGUGGGGCUGUGUUCCUUUCAGGAGUCCUAGGGGAAAAUCCGUUUCCUUGCCCUUUCCAGCGUCUAGAGGCUGCCAGCAUUCCUUGGCUUGUUGCUCUCCUUCCUCCAUCUUCAAAGCCAAUAGCUUAGCAUCCUCAAAAGUCUGUCCACCCUCACGUCGCCUUCACUGAUGCUUAUAUGGAUCCAUGUGCUUACACUGCAUCCGCCCAGGUAAAUACAGAUAAUCCUCCUAUCUCAGGGUCCUUACCUAACCACAUCUGCAGAGUCCCUUUUGCCAUGUAAGGUGACACAUUCACAGGUCCUGGGGAUUAGGAUGUGGACAUCUCUGAGGACUCCCAUCCCCAAUCCAGAGGAUUUCCCUGAAAUGCCAAGUUCAGUGAGAACAGCUUCCCAUAUGCCUGAGUGAAGGCACAAUACUGACUGUGCGAAAGGACAUAGUGUGGGACUCCAUUUAAAUUAAAUGUCAGAACAGGCAACACUAGCCUAUGGUGGAAAAGAAUUACAAUUACCACCUCCAAGGGCGGGGUGGGGUUGACUGGGGAAGGCCAUAUUGGAAUUUUCUGGUAUGGUGAUGUUCUUUAUCCUGGCAGGGGCACAAAAGUGUAAACAAACACUACUCUCUAGUCUAGUCAAUGACACGUACUGGGGGAAUUGUAGUGAUGUCUGCCAUUUACUCUGAAGAGACAUAAUGGAUAGUUUGAUGGACAGAUGGAUAGACAGGUGAUAUAUAGAUACAGUAACAUGUUUAUGAUAGAAUCUAGGUGGUGGGUAUACAGGUGUUCAUUUUAAUCAUCUUUGUGUUGUUUGAGAAUUUUUAUAAAAAUGUUGGGGAUGGUAAGAUGUGACCCUGGAAUAUGACUCUGGCACUCUAAAAACCAUAAAUUAACAAAAAGAACUUAGAAAGCCAUUAAGCAAGCUGUUGAAUAAUUUCCUUUUUAAAAUCAAUGGUUCUCAACCUGGGCAAUUUUGGAAGGUGUCUAGAAAGGUGUGGGAGCAUUCUUGACGGUCUCUAGAACUCUCAGUAAGGGCAAAGUGUUCCUGGCACCCAGGGCAGGGUCCAGAGAAGCUACUGCAACCACGCAGCCUCUCCACAGGACUGUCUUUCUACAUUAAAUGUUACUGAGGAAUACCAAUUUAAAAUCAGAGUCUUCUCUUCGUAUCUCAUUAAUUUGCUUGCAGUUGCUUGUAGCACAUCUCCAAGUGGACUGUGACUCACUUCUCAAAAAUGUGUUGUAUCUCCCACUUUUCUGUAACCCAAGAACCCCGAGCAUAGUGCUCUACCCAGAACACAUAUUUAAUAAACAUUUGGUAACAGGGGAGGGGAUGUUCCCUGACUAUCCCAGCUUGCCCUUUCAGGCAGCUCCUUUGAUGCAAACCUACCCCACAUUCCCCCUCCUCUGACCCCCAACCCGUUAAUAGCCAGUGAGGAAGGAUGUUCACUGCUGCAUUCUUCUGCCAAGACACAAUCUUGAAACUGCAUCCCCACUGCCACCCUCCUUCACCCUGCCCAACCCCAUCCCCCUGCACCAAAUGGCAGGGGAGGCACCUGAAAAUAACCACCAUGACACAGAGCUGAGAAAAGCCGGCAUAAAGCACUUUUAUUGCAAUAAUAAAACUUGAGACUCAUAAAUGGUGCUGGGGGAAGG